GUUGAACGCUGGCGGCAGGCCUAACACAUGCAAGUCGAGCGGAUGAAGGGAGCUUGCUCCUGGAUUCAGCGGCGGACGGGUGAGUAAUGCCUAGGAAUCUGCCUGGUAGUGGGGGAUAACGUCCGGAAACGGGCGCUAAUACCGCAUACGUCCUGAGGGAGAAAGUGGGGGAUCUUCGGACCUCACGCUAUCAGAUGAGCCUAGGUCGGAUUAGCUAGUUGGUGGGGUAAAGGCCUACCAAGGCGACGAUCCGUAACUGGUCUGAGGGGAUGAUCAGUCACACUGGAACUGAGACACGGUCCAGACUCCUACGGGAGGCAGCAGUGGGGAAUAUUGGACAAUGGGCGAAAGCCUGAUCCAGCCAUGCCGCGUGUGUGAAGAAGGUCUUCGGAUUGUAAAGCACUUUAAGUUGGGAGGAAGGGCAGUAAGUUAAUACCUUGCUGUUUUGACGUUACCAACAGAAUAAGCACCGGCUAACUUCGUG
rnacentral:rRNA from 1 species